rnacentral:tRNA from 1 species
GGACGUUUGGCUUAAUGGUAAAGCACUCGGCCAGUAUCUGAGAUGAAUGGGGUUUGAUCCCCGUAGCUGCCU